AGACCCGAAACCCGGUGAUCUAGCCAUGGGCAGGUUGAAGGUUGGGUAACACUAACUGGAGGACCGAACCGACUAAUGUUGAAAAAUUAGCGGAUGACCUGUGGCUGGGGGUGAAAGGCCAAUCAAACCGGGAGAUAGCUGGUUCUCCCCGAAAGCUAUUUAGGUAGCGCCUCGUGAAUUCAUCUCCGGGGGUAGAGCACUGUUUCGGCUAGGGGGCCAUCCCGGCUUACCAACCCGAUGCAAACUGCGAAUACCGGAGAAUGUUAUCACGGGAGACACACGGCGGGUGCUAACGUCCGUCGUGAAGAGGGAAACAACCCAGACCGCCAGCUAAGGUCCCAAAGUCAUGGUUAAGUGGGAAACGAUGUGGGAAGGCCCAGACAGCCAGGAUGUUGGCUUAGAAGCAGCCAUCAUUUAAAGAAAGCGUAAUAGCUCACUGGUCGAGUCGGCCUGCGCGGAAGAUGUAACGGGGCUAAACCAUGCACCGAAGCUGCGGCAGCGAACGUAUCACCCAAGACAACUUUACGGAGUUGACGAUUGACGGAGCGAAGCGACGUCAAAGCGUUCAUUAAAGUCGAGUUGGCUUAGGGAUACGUUCGUUGGGUAGGGGAGCGUUCUGUAAGCCUGUGAAGGUGUGUCGUGAGGCAUG
rnacentral:rRNA from 1 species